CCUACGGGGGUCAGCAGUGGGGAAUAUUGGGCAAUGGGCGCAAGCCUGACCCAGCAACGCCGCGUGAAGGAAGAAGGCUUUCGGGUUGUAAACUUCUUUUGUCAGGGAAGAGUAGAAGACGGUACCUGACGAAUAAGCCACGGCUAACUACGUGCCAGCAGCCGCGGUAAUACGGAGGUGGCACGCGUUGUCCGGAUUUACUGGGUGUAAAGGGCGUGUAGCCGGGUUGACAAGUCAGAUGUGAAAUCCUGCGGCUUAACCGCUGAACUGCAUUUGAAACUGUUGAUCUUGAGUACGGGAGAGGCAGACGGAAUUCCUAGUGUAGCGGUGAAAUGCGUAGAUAUUAGGAGGAACACCAGUGGCGAAGGCGGUCUGCUGGGCAGCAACUGACGGUGAGGCGCGAAAGCGUGGGGAGCAAACGGGAUUAGAUACCCGGGUAGUC
rnacentral:rRNA from 1 species